rnacentral:rRNA from 1 species
GGUAGAUGCGGGCCAGCUGGCGAGGUAGUAUGGAGGGUGCGAACGGUAAUCGGAGUGACGGGGCUUAGAGCGUGGGCAUGAGGCUCUGCAAGACAGAGGUGAAAUCCCCUGGCUUAACCGUGGAACGGCAUGUGUGACUGCAUGGCUCGAGUGCGGCAGAGGGGGAUGGAAUUCCGCGUGUAGCAGUGAAAUGCGUAGAUAUGCGGAGGAACACCGAUGGCGAAGGCAAUCCCCUGGGCCUGCACUGACGCUCAUGCACGAAAGCGUGGGGAGCAAACAGGAUUAGAUACCCGUGUAGUC